rnacentral:tRNA from 1 species
GCACUUGUGUCCCGAGUAGCGAAGGGGGCGGACUGCAAAUCCGUUGUAGAAAUACCAUCGUAGGUGCGAGUCCUACCAAGUGCU